rnacentral:rRNA from 1 species
CCUACGGGAGGCAGCAGUGGGGAAUAUUGGGCAAUGGGCGCAAGCCUUACCCAGCAACGCCGCGUGAAGGAAGAAGGCUUUCGGGUUGUAAACUUCUUUUCUGAGGGACGAAGAAAGUGACGGUACCUCAGGAAUAUGCCACGGCUAACUACGUGCCAGCAGCCGCGGUAAUACGUAGGUGGCAAGCGUUAUCCGGAUUUAUUGGGGGGAAGGGGCGUGUAGGCGGGAAAGCAAGUCAGAUGUGAAAACGCAGGGCUCAACCCUGAGCCUGCAUUUGAAACUGUUGUUCUGGAGUGCUGGAGAGGCAAGCGGAAUUCCGUGUGUAGCGGUGAAAUGCGUAGAUAUACGGAGGAACACCAGUGGCGAAGGCGGAUUGCUGGACAGUAACUGACGCUGAGGCGCGAAAGCGUGGGGAGCAAACAGGAUUAGAUACCCGAGUAGUC